rnacentral:rRNA from 1 species
GACGAACCGAGCGAACGUUAUUCGGAAUCACUGGGCUUAAAGGGCGCGUAGGCGGGCGAUCAAGUCAGGGGUGAAAGCCCCCAGCUCAACUGGGGAAGUGCCUCUGAUACUGGUCGUCUCGAGGGGGAUAGGGGCAUGCGGAACUUCCGGUGGAGCGGUGAAAUGCGUAGAUAUCGGAAGGAACACCGGUGGCGAAAGCGGCGUGCUGGAUCCCUUCUGACGCUGAGGCGCGAAAGCCAGGGGAGCGAACGGG